rnacentral:rRNA from 1 species
AUUGAACGCUGGCGGAAUGCUUUACACAUGCAAGUCGAACGGUAGAGGGGGCAACCCCUCGAGAGUGGCGAACGGGUGAGUAAUAUAUCGGAACGUGCCCAGUCGUGGGGGAUAACGUAGCGAAAGUUACGCUAAUACCGCAUACGAUCUACGGAUGAAAGCGGGGGAUCGCAAGACCUCGCGCGAUUGGAGCGGCCGAUAUCAGAUUAGGUAGUUGGUGGGGGUAAAAGGCCUCACCAAGCCAACGAUCUGUAGCUGGUCUGAGAGGACGACCAGCCACACUGGAACUGAGACACGGUCCAGACUCCUACGGGAGGCAGCAGUGGGGAAUUUUGGACAAUGGACGCAAGUCUGAUCCAGCCAUUCCGCGUGCAGGAUGAAGGCCCUCGGGUUGUAAACUGCUUUUGUACGGAACGAAAAGGUUUCGUAUUAAUACUAGGAGCUCAAUGACGGUACCGUAAGAAUAAGCACCGGCUAACUACGUG